rnacentral:rRNA from 1 species
GACGAACGCUGGCGGCGUGCUUAACACAUGCAAGUCGAACGGAAAGGCCCUGCUUUUGUGGGGUGCUCGAGUGGCGAACGGGUGAGUAACACGUGAGUAACCUGCCCUUGACUUUGGGAUAACUUCAGGAAACUGGGGCUAAUACCGGAUAGGAGCUCCUGCCGCAUGGUGGGGGUUGGAAAGUUUCGGCGGUUGGGGAUGGACUCGCGGCUUAUCAGCUUGUUGGUGGGGUAGUGGCAUACCAAGGCCUUGACGGGUAGCCGGGCUGAGAGGGUGACCGGACACAUUGGGAUUGAGAUACGGCACAGACUCCUACGGGAGGCAGCAGUGGGGAAUAGUGCACAAUGGGCGGAAGCCUGAUGCAGCAACGCCGCGUGCGGGAUGACGGCCUUCGGGUUGUAAACCGCUUUCGCCUGUGACGAAGCGUGAGUGACGGUAAUGGGUAAAGAAGCACCGGCUAACUACGUG